rnacentral:rRNA from 1 species
GGGCUCACACAAGUGGUGGAACAUGUGGUUUAAUUCGAAGAUACGCGCAGAACCUUACCAACACUUGACAUGUUCGUCGCGACUUUAAGAGAUUAAAGUUUUCGGUUCGGCCGGACGAAACACAGGUGCUGCAUGGCUGUCGUCAGCUCGUGUCGUGAGAUGUUGGGUUAAGUCCCGCAACGAGCGCAACCCUCACUUUUAGUUGCCAUCAUUAAGUUGGGCACUCUGAAAGAACUGCCAGUGAUAAGCUGGAGGAAGGUGGGGAUGACGUCAAGUCCUCAUGGCCCUUACGUGUUGGGCUACACACGUGCUACAAUGGUAUCUACAACAGGAAGCAAAACUGCGAAGUUAAGCAAAUCCCUAAAAGAUACCUCAGUUCGGAUUGCACUCUGCAACUCGAGUGCAUGAAGCUGGAAUUACUAGUAA